rnacentral:tRNA from 1 species
UAAGUUGUAGCUAAAUUUAAGUGCCCCACUUACUAUGGGGUGAUUGCCCUUAGGGGUACUACUUAA